GACGUAGGGGGCGAGCGUUAUCCGGAUUCACUGGGCGUAAAGGGCGCGUAGGCGGCUACGUAAGUCCGGCGUGAAAUCCCACGGCUUAACUGUGGAAUUGCGUCGGAUACUGCGUUGGCUAGAGGACGGUAGAGGCUAGUGGAACUAGCGGUGUAGCGGUGAAAUGCGCAGAUAUCGCUAGGAACGCCGGUGGCGAAGGCGACUGGCUGGGCCGAUCCUGACGCUGAGGCGCGAAAGCUAGGGGAGCGAACCGGAUUAGAAACCCCCGUAGUCC
rnacentral:rRNA from 1 species